rnacentral:rRNA from 1 species
AACGAACGCUGGCGGCAUGCCUAACACAUGCAAGUCGAACGAGACCUUCGGGUCUAGUGGCGCACGGGUGCGUAACGCGUGGGAACCUGCCCUUAGGUUCGGAAUAACUCCCCGAAAGGGGUGCUAAUACCGGAGAAUGUCUUCGGACCAAAGAUUUAUCGCCUUUGGAUGGGCCCGCGUUGGAUUAGCUAGUUGGUAGGGUAAAAGCAUACCAAGGCGACGAUCCAUAGCUGGUCUGAGAGGAUGAUCAGCCACACUGGGACUGAGACACGGCCCAGACUCCUACGGGAGGCAGCAGUGGGGAAUAUUGGAAAAUGGGCGAAAGCCUGAGCCAGCAAUGCCGCGUGAGUGAUGAAGGCCUUAGGGUUGUAAAGCUCUUUUACCCGGGAUGAUAAUGACAGUACCGGGAGAAUAAGCUCCGGCUAACUCCGUG